rnacentral:tRNA from 1 species
UCCUGGCUCAGAUGGUAAAGAAUCUGCCUGCAAUGCAGGAGAUUUGGGUUCGAUCCCAAGGUCAGGAA